rnacentral:rRNA from 1 species
GACGAACGCUGGCGGCGUGCUUAACACAUGCAAGUCGAACGGAAAGGCCCGGCUUCUGUGGGGUGCCCGAGUGGCGAACGGGUGAGUAACAAGCGAGUAACCUGCCUUUGACUCAGGGAUAACCUCAGGAAACUGGGGCUAACAACGGAUAGGAGCUCCUGCUGCAUGGUGGGGGUUGGAAAGUUUCGGCGGUUUGGGAUGGACUCGCGGCUUAUCAGCUUGUUGGUGGGGUAGUGGCUUACCAAGGCUUUGACGGGUAGCCGGCCUGAGAGGGUGACCGGCCACAUUGGGACUGAGAUACGGCCCAGACUCCUACGGGAGGCAGCAGUGAGGAAUAUUGCACGAUGGGCGGAAGCCUGAUGCAGCAACUCCGCGUGCGAGAUGACGGCCUUCGGGUUGUAAACCGCUUUCGCCUGUGACGAAGCGUGAGUGACGGUAAUGGGUAAGGAAGCACCGGCUAACUACGUG